CAAACUUUCAUUGCAAAACAACCGUCAUGGCUUCUUCUUCUCCACCAUCAAAAUACUUCUCCCUUGUGGUUUUGGUGCUUUGUUUUAUUGUUGGCUCUUUGGUGGCUGUUGCCUCUGCUGGUAAUUUCAAUCAAGAUUUUGAGAUUACAUGGGGUGAUGGCAGAGGUAAGAUUUUAAACAACAACGAGCUUCUUAUGCUGUCUCUUGAUAAAGGCUCAGGCUCAGGAUUUCAAUCCACAAAUGAGUAUCUGUUUGGCAAGAUUGAUAUGCAGCUUAAGCUUGUCCCUGGAAACUCUGUUGGCACUGUCACUGCCUACUAUUUGGCCUCAAAAGGAUUAACAUGGGAUGAGAUUGAUUUUGAGUUCUUGGGGAACCUAAGUGGUGAUCCUUACAUCCUUCACACCAAUGUGUAUAGCCAAGGCAAGGGCAACAGAGAGCAACAGUUCUACCUCUGGUUUGACCCAACUGCUGAUUUCCACACAUAUUCAAUCCUUUGGAACUCGCAACGCAUUGUGUAAGUAGCCGCCAACAUGACUUUGCACUCAAAUCAUUUACUUCAAGAGUAUUUUCUUAGUCCUCCAGAGGGUAUUAAAAUGGUUGUGUUUUUCUUUUCUAUGUCAGCUUCUAGGGGUGGUCUGGUUAAGACAGACUGGACCAAAGCUCCUUUCACCGCCUUCUACAGGAACUUCAAUGCCAUUAAUGCCUGCGUAUGGUCCUCUGGGGCAUCUUCUUGCACUUCAAAGUCUCCAUCUUCAACUAGCUCAGCUGGAAAUACAUGGCUUUCUCAAGAGUUUGAUUUGGCAAGUCAGGAGAAACUGAAAUGGGUGCAAAGAAACUACAUGAUUUACAAUUACUGCAAAGACACCAGGAGAUUUCCCCAAGACUUUCCUCAAGAAUGCGCACUACUGUCUUGAGAAACUGAGAAGAGAGACUUUGAUCGAUCCUUUUUUCUGCUU